GAUGAAGAACGUAGCGAAAUGCGAUAAGUAAUGUGAAUUGCAGAAUUCAGUGAAUCAUCGAAUCUUUGAACGCACAUUGCGCCCGUCAGUAUUCUGGCGGGCAUGCCUGUUCGAGCGUCAUUACGCCCCUCAAGUCCCCUGUGCACUUGGUGUUGGGGAUCGGCGAGGCUGGUUUUCCAGCACAGCCGUCCCUUAAAUUAAUUGGCGGUCUCGCCGUGGCCCUCCUCUGCGCAGUAGUAAAACACUCGCAACAGGAGCCCGGCGCGGUCCACUGCCGUAAAACCCCCCAACUUUUUAUAGUUGACCUCGAAUCAGGUAGGACUACCCGCUGAACUUAAGCAUAUCAAUAAGCGGAGGA
rnacentral:misc_RNA from 1 species